CUUCUGCAUUCCAGCUCAACCAACCAUAGGGCAAGUAUCACUUGAGUCCCUAUGGUAUGACUUUUUAAGUCUCCUGAUCAUAACUUGGCAGAAACUUACCAAAGGACCAGAAUCACUGGCAUGAAGUUCCCAUGGAAUCCACAGACAUGUUAGUCUUCAAUCCCUAAAGAAGCCCACCUCUUCCUCCUCCUCUAUCAUACCCUGAGCAGGAAAGACAGCAAGUGGAAAGCAACCUGAGCCAUCCUUGUCUGUCUUACUACAAUUGUCCUAGUAUUUCUUCAAAUCAGUUCAAGGAAGAUUUGUUGAACAUCUAUCAUGAGCCUGGCCCUGCUUUUGCUUCUGGGACUGCAAAGACCAGCAGCAGCAGAGAGUGAGUUUCUUAACUCACAUUCUUUCAGGAGGGACAGACCCUGAAGGAAUUAACUAGAAUGUAGAAAAAUCCAAACAUCCUAGGAAGGUCACUUCACUUUUCUGAGUUACCCCUUCUCAACUCUUAAGGUGGGAGUGAUGAUAUUAGCUUCUACUCUCAAAGGGAGAGGAGUAAAUAUGGUAACACAUUUUAGAGCUUAGCAGAGUGCCUGGUACACAGUGGGUGCUCAAAACAUGGCUUAGAAGACUCUGCAAGCCCAGUGAGGAAUAAGUAGUUUAGCGUCGGUGGGGGUUGGAGAGGUCUUCUCAGAGAAGAAGGUGUUUGCGUAGGCCAAAGAUAUUGGGAGGGGACGAGGGGCUCUUGUUCCAUAGCCAGCUGCCUAGAUCUUUAGAACCCCACAGGUGCACAUAGUUCUAUCCAGAGAAAUGGGAGUUCUAGAUCUUACAUAUUAUUCCAUCUGAGCAGUGGAAUGAUUUAGAGAUGAAGGCCAGGAACCAGGAUACCAAAUCAGCCAUCUGGGAUGGUGCUCAAGAAUCUGCAUUAACAAACUCACCAGGGGGUGGUGACUGACCACUGCCAGCAACCAAGAAGGAGCCUGAUGGUUAAGUUCUGGGCCUGAAGCAAAAACUUCACAAGUGUCGUUUAGCCAUCUGUUCACUUGUUUUGUGUUUACUGAGUACUUCUGAUGUGCAAAGCCCUGCGGCGGAUCUGGGGAUACAGCAGUGAAUGAGCGAGGCAAGCUCCAUGCUCACUAACUGGGAGUAAAAAGAAAAUAAAAUAAU